rnacentral:lncRNA from 1 species
UUCGUUUUCAUUGGAGGUUUUGGGGAUCAAGGAGACUGGAGAGGAGCUUCAUGCUUCGGGUCGGAGAAGAAAAGACGAAGAAUUGGAUUUUUCUUCUUCAUAGAGUUUUGGAAAGACUGAGGCAAUCGUUGCUGAAGUCAGUGUUGUAAUGGUGAAUCGGGAUUUUUAAUGAAGUGGGUUUGAGUACUCUUGACUGUUUUGUGAAAUCGAGUUACGUCUGUGAUUGAAGGAUUAAAAAGGUGUUUAUAGGAUUGAGUAUGCGGAGUGAAUGAAAUUUAUUGGAUUAAUCUAACAAGACAGUCAGUGGAUACAAGAUCGUAAGUACAAAGCG